CUCCAGACUCCUACGGGAGGCAGCAGUGGGGAAUAUUGCACAAUGGGGGGAACCCUGAUGCAGCGACGCCGCGUGAGUGAAGAAGUAUUUCGGUAUGUAAAGCUCUGUCAGCAGGGAAGAAGAAAGACGGUACCUGACCAAGAAGCCCCGGCUAACUACGUGCCAGCAGCCGCGGUAAUACGUAGGGGGCAAGCGUUAUCCGGAUUUACUGGGUGUAAAGGGGGCGCAGACGGCGAUGCAAGCCAGGAGUGAAAGCCCGGGGCCCAACCCCGGGACUGCUCUUGGAACUGCGUGGCUAGAGUGCAGGAGGGGCAGGCGGAAUUCCUGGUGUAGCGGUGAAAUGCGUAGAUAUCAGGAGGAACACCGGUGGCGAAGGCGGCCUGCUGGACUGCAACUGACGUUGAGGCCCGAAAGCGUGGGGAGCAAACAGGAUUAGAUACCCCCGUA
rnacentral:rRNA from 1 species